AAACGUUCUGGUCCCGGACUUAUCAUUGUCUACAGCCAUAUCUACACAUGCAAGCUUCCACAGCACGGUGCUCAAGCCCACCCCCCCCGCAAACACUACUCCGGGACAGGAGCAGGUAUCAGGCACGCAACACAAAUAAAAGCAGCCCAAGACACCUAGUUAACCAUAAAUCACACCCCCACGGAACUCAGCAGUGACAAACAUUAGGCCAUAGGCUCACACCUGACCCAGUAAAGGCUAACCCAGGGCCGGUAAACCUCCGUGCCAGCCACCGCGGUUAUACGAGGGACCCAAGACAAAACACAAACGGCGUAAAAUGUGACUAGAGACCUUAGUCCAAGUGGGGGCGAAACCACACCAGCGUCGUAAAACACCCUCUGGUCCACAGAAGAACAAUCAUGGGAAGCCCUCACACUAAAUCUAACUCUUGACCCCACGAAAGCCAAGACACAAACUAGGAUUAGAUACCCUACUAUGCUCGGCCACCAACUAAAACAGCUACGUACACCUGCUGUUCGCCAGAAGACUACAAGCAAAAAGCUUAAAAUUCAAAGGACUUGACGGUGUCUCACAUCGCCCUAGAGGAGCCUGUCCUAUAAUCGACAUCCCACGCAUCAACCUCACCCCCCCUUGAACAAUCCAGUCUAUAUACCGCCGUCACAACCCACCUCAUGAGAGACCCUUAGCAAGUAAAAUAGUUUGACACUAGUAAGACAGGUCAAGGUGUAGCUAACGGGGGGGGAAGCGAUGGGCUACAUUUUCUAUAAUACCAGAAAACUACUAGAAACAACAUGAAAAUUUGCCAAACGGCGGAUUUAGAAGUAAAUACAGGCCAGACCAUGCCAAAUUGAAACCCAGCCCUGAGACAAGUACAUACCGCCCGUCACCCCCGUUGACGCAAACAAAACUAAACAUAUACCACCACCUGCUUAACUAGAUGGGGCAAGUCGUAACAUGGUAAGCGUACUGGAAAGUGCGCUUGGACUU
rnacentral:ncRNA from 1 species